UUUUUUUUUUUUUUUUUCCUAACAGCUUGAAAGAUGGUUUUUGGGUCUUAAUUAAAAGAUUGAAGACUGUGGGCCAGACCCAAACUAAUUCCAUUGGCAUCAGGGAGAAGGAUUGUUUACAUAUUUCUCUAUAGGCAUAAUUGUUUUUAUUUUUGCUGAAUUAUCUGGUUAGUCAAAUCAUACAUUAGAGAAGUAAUAUUAAAAAAUAAAAAAUGUAUCUGUAAACAUAUCCCUCUUCCAUUCCAGUCUUUGUCUCUGUGUAAUUUUAGAACCUUGGGCCAUGAUGUACAUAAAGUUUAUAUUCUUUUAAUAUCUUGCUACUUCAUUGUUUUAAUGUUUAAUCUUUGGGUUGAUUUAUCACAGGUUACUUGACCGUUUCUUACAGGUGUUUGGUUUAGGUUUUUUUUCCCUUAACACUAAUGUAAAUUUGAGUGUUUGGCUAAUAGUUUUAGCAGGAUUUAAGGCAGAGCCUCAGUUAGGGCCGUGGAUCGAUUUAUAGUCCCUAGUUUGAGGAGGGAGGUGGCAAUCUGCCCUUUCUUCUAAAAUUGAUAUGUUAAAUCACAAUGGACAUGUACUUGAUUUUGAGCACUUGGGACUCCCCUGGGGUUCACUGGUAUUGCAAGGUCAGGGCUGGGGAUCUUCUGCUGGAGAGGCCCCCAGCGUGCCCAGCGCAGAGUCCCGAGUGCGUUACUGCAGGACAGAACCCCUGGGCUUUGUCCUCCAGCGGCCGUCUCUCCGGGAAGAGCUGACUGCUCCAGGAAUGAGGUCUAUGCUCUGAAGCUCACAGUCAGCAGACCAGCAAAGGUCAGCACAGAUGAUCUUAUUAUAUGAAUGAUUCAUUUAACAAGCAUUCAUGGAAUACACACUCCGUGCAGUUGGAACUUAGAGUGGAAGGCCAUCAGCUCACUAUUGUCUGAGCAGAGCUUGAUCUCUGGCUCCCUGUUGUAGCCUCCGCUCCUAGGAGGUGCACGGUGAGUGUUGGGGGACCCUCCACAGGCACAAUUGCUGAACAAGGACCCUCCCAAGGCAGCCCAGCCCUGGCCCUGAGCUCUGAAGAGGAGGAAGGCAUUCCUAGGGCCGACUUCCCUUCUGGAUACUGAGCUCUGCACCGAGAGAAACUCUUCCACAUUCACUGCAGUGAAGUUCAUACUUUAGAGACUGGGGCCUGCAUUCCCCACAAUUUCCAUGGCCACAGGUGGUGGCUGCACCAUGCGACUGGUGUCUAUGUUCUCUGGAAUUUCUGUGACCACAGGUGGUGACUGUACCAUGUGACUGGGGCCUGCAUUCCCUGGAAUUUCUUUGGCCAUAGGUGGUGGCUGUACCAUGGGAAUGAGGCUCUGUGUUCCCUGGAAUUUCCAUGGCCAUAUGUGGUGGCUGUACCAUGCGACUGGGGUCUGCGUUCCCUAGAAUUUCUGUGGCUGCAGGCUGUGGCUGCACCAUGCAAAUGGGGUCUGCAUUCCUCGGAAUUUCCGUGGCCAUAGAUGGUGGCUGUACCAUGUGUCUGAGG
rnacentral:lncRNA from 1 species